rnacentral:rRNA from 1 species
GACGAACGCUGGCGGCGUGCUUAACACAUGCAAGUCGAACGCUGAACCCGCUUCGGUGGGGGAUGAGUGGCGAACGGGUGAGUAACACGUGGGCAACCUGCCCCCGGCUCUGGGAUAACUCCAAGAAAUUGGGGCUAAUACCGGAUGUGACCGCUGGCCGCAUGGUCUGGUGGUGGAAAGGGUUUCCGGCUGGGGAUGGGCCCGCGGCCUAUCAGCUUGUUGGUGGGGUAGUGGCCUACCAAGGCGACGACGGGUAGCCGGCCUGGGAGGGUGACCGGCCACACGGGGACUGAGGCACGGCCCAGACUCCAACGGGAGGCAGCGGUGGGGAAUAUUGCGCAAUGGGCGGGAGCCUGACGCAGCGACGCCGCGUGGGGGAUGACGGCCUUCGGGUUGUAAACCUCUUUCAGCAGGGACGAAGCGCAAGUGACGGUACCUGCAGAAGAAGCACCGGCCAACUACGUG